UCAUUAUUUUCCAAAGAACGUGUUUUUCAAUAUCUGUCAACGAUUACAGAUUUCUGUUUAAACGGUAAUCGAUAGACGCCAUGUGUACAUGUGACGCAUGCACCUUUGUUUUUCACCAAUACUCUUACAAUGACCACACUCAGUUAUGCCAUAAAUUUCAAGGAAAGAAAAAAUCGAUGUACCGUUUUGGGCAAAAUCUGUAAUCAACACGUACACACGAUGAAUUCGUGAGAUCAUGAUGUGCCAUGUAAACACUGCUUAAAUCUAAUCGAUCGUAAAAUUAUCGGUUCCAACAAAAAAUUGAAUUGCAUUUUUAAAACAUACAAAAAGGCGGCCUUAGGUCUGUAAAUAAGGUACAAAAUAGUGACUGAGGUCAAUAUUAAUGACCGUGUGGGUAUCAUGCGUGCGUUCAAAAAUGAAUUGGGAGUUUUAUGGUAAUGGCGAAUCACAAAGUGUGACGGCAUUGAAUACGUCUAAGUCUUUGUGGGCUUUCAGUGAUUUAUAUGGGCGCUGUGUUUAAGUUUCCCACAGAUGGAGUGACCAGCAGUGGCUGUGUUGGAGUUUGUGGUGUGGGCUUUCAAGAGGAAUGCCUUAACAUUUCCAGCAAAUUUCGCAAAACAUUGAUGUUGAUAUUAUCGUCACCAGCUCAUUACUCUAAAUGGGGGCGUGUUUGCCGAUACCGCUUUAUGAUUGGCCAAUUCUGCGAUUUUAACGUCGGGUCUGUGUGGUCUUUCUUUGGGCAAUACAAGCAACACGCCUUUUAUUUCAUCUUUGGGUGAUUAUUAUAAUGUCAACGAUAGAUUGCGCUUCCAUACCCGAAUUCGAAUUUAAUUGGAUGAGUUGAGGGAUGGUGAUCGUAUGGGCAUGAUCCGCAAGGCUAAUGGAAAUCCCCACUACUUUAAUGGUCAAGAGUAAGAGUAGCUGCCACACGGGUACCUUCCUCUCUAUGGGGUGUCAUUGAUUUUUAUGGCAUGAUCAUUAAGGCUGUAACAACAAAUUUAUUGUUGCUGCUGUUUGCGCUAAAUACACUUGACAUCAACAAUGUUUUAUA